rnacentral:lncRNA from 1 species
CCGUCAAGUACAUAUCAUUCAUCCUAAUCGGAACAAAUGGGGAGAGAGGGCCUCCACUUCUUCCCCUUCUCCGUCUCUGAGGAGCAUCAUCGUCCUCAUCGGAAACACGUGAAAGGAUCCCUAUUUCUGAUUGUCUUCUCUUCCUUCUCUCUCUACGAUCAUUGAACAGUUCAAGCAUUAAUCGUCUCUAGAUUCUAAAAGCUAUAAUGGGACGCUGAUGAGGCAGAGAUGUAGACGAGAUUAUUGGCAUGGCUAAUAAAGCCUCUGUUGAUGAUCAACAGAAACAAGUCCUGGAUAUAAACAUCCUGAUGUGCCUGAGACAAGGCCAUUAGAACGUGCUGAUGUAUCUCAUAAAUUGAAAGAUCUCAUUGGCUACACUCUCGAUAUCAAACCUUCUCAGAUACCCCAUAAGGAAGCAGGCCAAGGAUUAAAGAAUAGAGAAGAAAAAGCUGAGCAUAUGUUCUUCUACUUGUUCUUGGCAUAAUAUCUAUGCAAUUGAUUGUGCCUACUGAAUAUGUAGUUCUGAGCUUUUUUCUUUUAAUUUUCUUUCACAUCACACAAAACAGAUGGGAAGGAAGAAUCCACUAGUGCUGAAACUGAGGGAACUGGAAACUGAUGGUUUGUUAUCUAAAGUAUGGACACUUCCUAGAUUAGUGAGAUAGAGGACAAUGCCGAUGAAGGAGAUGGUCCGGGAAGAAGAGAAACUGACUCUUUGAUUGUUCAAAGGCAGCUUACUAAUACUGACGGAGCCAAUAUUUCUCUGCUUGGCCGAGUUUAUGAUGAUUUGAAGAUACUGAUAGCCAAUAUGCCUAAUGUCAGCAUAGGCCAUGUGCGUAGGGAAGCCAAUACUGCUGCACAUAUGUUGGCAGCUCACUCUUGUAGUGUUGGCCAUUGUUUUAAGUUCUCUUCAGUUCCUCCUUUUCUUACAUAUGUAAUAGCUCUUCAAUAAAGUUUUGACAUCUUUCAUCUCAAAAAGAAAAAAAAGAAAAAAAAAGAGCUAUAUAACCAAACAAAUGACAAAACAUAAAACUGCUUAUAUAAUUUGUAUAAUUAAUAUACAUAAGUGAUGUGUUGAUAAUUUGAACUAGUGUAUAAGAACA